UCCUGGAUAGUACAGUGGUAACGCGGUGGCCUCGCAUUCGCUAGGUCGAGGGAUCGUGCCUCGUCCAGGAA